GACGAACGCUGGCGGCGUGCUUAACACAUGCAAGUCGAACGGAAAGGCCCUGCUUUUGUGGGGUGCUCGAGUGGCGAACGGGUGAGCAACACGUGAGUAACCUGCCCUUGACUUUGGGAUAACUUCAGGAAACUGGGGCUAAUACCGGAUAGGAGCUCCUGCUGCAUGGUGGGGGUUGGAAAGUUUCGGCGGUUGGGGAUGGACUCGCGGCUUAUCAGCUUGUUGGUGGGGUAGUGGCUUACCAAGGCUUUGACGGGUAGCCGGCCUGAGAGGGUGACCGGCCACAUUGGGACUGAGAUACGGCCCAUACUCCUACGGGAGGCAGCAGUGGGGAAUAUUGCACAAUGGGCGGAAGCCUGAUGCAGCAACGCCGCGUGCGGGAUGACGGCCUUCGGGUUGUAAACCGCUUUCGCCUGUGACGAAGCGUGAGUGACGGUAAUGGGUAAAGAAGCACCGGCUAACUACGUG
rnacentral:rRNA from 1 species